rnacentral:rRNA from 1 species
GACGAACGCUGGCGGCGUGCCUAAUACAUGCAAGUAGGACGCAGUUGCGAACGGGUGAGUAACGCGUAGGUAUCUGCCUAUUAGAGGGGGCUAACUAUUGGAACCGAUAGCUCAUACCGCCUACUCGUAGAUGGACCUGCGUUGUAUUAGCUAGUAGGGAGGGUAAUGGCCUAACUAGGCCACGGUACCUAACCGAGCUGGAGAGGUGGACUGCCAAACUGGGACUGGGACCAUGGUCAGGAUCCUACGGGAGGCAACAGUAGGGAAUCUUCGGCAAUGGGGGGAACCCUGACCAAGCAACGGCGCGGUGGUGAAGAAGGUUUUCUGAUCGUAAAGCUCUGUUGAGAAGGAAGCGGUACUUAACCAGAAAGGGACGGCUAACUACGUGCCAGCAGCCGCGGUAAUUC